rnacentral:misc_RNA from 1 species
GAUGAAGAACGCAGCGAAAUGCGAUAACUAAUGUGAAUUGCAGAAUUCCGUGAAUCAUCGAGUCUUUGAACGCACAUUGCGCCCGCCAGUAUUCUGGCGGGCAUGCCUGUUCGAGCGUCAUUACAACCCUCAGGCCCCCGGGCCUGGCGUUGGGGAUCGGCGGAAGCCCCCUGCGGGCACAACGCCGUCCCCCAAAUACAGUGGCGGUCCCGCCGCAGCUUCCAUUGCGUAGUAGCUAACACCUCGCAACUGGAGAGCGGCGCGGCCACGCCGUAAAACACCCAACUUCUGAAUGUUGACCUCGAAUCAGGUAGGAAUACCCGCUGAACUUAAGCAUAUCAAUAAGCGGAGGA